AUUUAUUAUCUUCACAAAAUAAAAAUACAUGAUAAGAAAUGUGAAAUCUCACAAUUUUACAAUGAAACUUAAAUACUUUAAUUUUAUUGAAAAUAAAAACAACAUAAUGAAAAAACAUGAUAACUAAAAUUAAUAACGCAAUAAAACAACAUUAUUUAUUUUUCCAAUAAAUUGAUCAUGAUUUAGUUUUGAUCUCCGAAGAAGUCUUCAACUUCUAAAUGAGUGAUAUCAUCAAGGCUAUCAAAAUUAUCAUUUUUCAAUAACAAGUUUGCCUCAACAUUGUCAUCAUAUUUUUGUGAAGGUUCUGCCUCAUCAUCAUUUUUGAAAGUUAAAUGUGACUCUAUUCGGACAUUAGAAGAGGUCCCACCUUCAUUUCUCUUUCUUUUAAAAGAAUCUUGAUAAAGCCUCAAUAUAUGCGUAGGUUCCCAACAUUCAUUCUUCCAAUGGUCUUUCAUGUCAUAACGAUGACAAUUGCCUCUUGAAUGAUUAUUUUGAGAACCUAUUUGAUUCUUCCUUUUCUGGUUACCAUCACCACGAUGAUUAUUAUAUCAUCACCUAUUAUUUCC
rnacentral:lncRNA from 1 species